CAAUAGCGUAUAUUAAAGUUGUUGCGGUAAAAAAGCUCGUAGUUGGAUUUCUGUUGAGAGCGACCGGUCCAUACCAUGUAUGCGUAUCUGGCUUGCUCUCGGCAUCCUCUCGAUAGACGUUACUGCGCUUGAUCGCGUGGUGCGGAUCUCGGGACUUUUACUUUGAGGAAAUUAGAGUGUUCACGGCAGGCUUUCGCCAGAAUACAUUAGCAUGGAAUAAUACUAUAGGAUCUUGGUUCUAUUUUGUUGGUUUCUAGAAUUGAGAUAAUGAUUAAUAGGGACAAUUGGGGGCAUUCGUAUCAACACGUCAGAGGUGGAAUUCUUGGAUUGUGUUGCGACGAACUACUGCGAAAGCAUUUGCCAAGGAUGUUUUCAUUGA
rnacentral:rRNA from 1 species